GGGGCCGUAGUGAAGAGGCCUAUCACGUCUCCCUGUCACGGAGAAGAACGCCGGUUCGAAUCCGGUCGGUCCCGCCU
rnacentral:tRNA from 1 species